AGUUCGGUGGCUGAGUGGUAAAGCACUUGGCUACCGAACCGGGGUGGUCUCGGGUUCGAAUCCUGGUGGAAUUU
rnacentral:tRNA from 1 species